rnacentral:lncRNA from 1 species
GUCGCUUUCACUGUUUACAGAUGCAGUUUUAGAGAUAAGAAUUUAAUUAUUUUUAAUUUUAUUUAAUACAAAAAGCCCUGCCUGCUUGUGAUUCAAAGGCGUUGGCAAACUCACAAAAAAUGUCUCUCAUGAGCACAAUUUUUGCAAGAGGAGACUGCAUGAAGACCAUUCCUAUGAAGUUCCAGAGAAACGUACAUGAGUCGAAAGUGAUGCACCUAUUUACUCCACCCCUCGACGCCCUAGACGAAGAAGGCGUGUGAUUGUCACGAAAAAAUCUCUGACAUAAAUUUGUGCAAGAAUUUACUCUGAGUACAUGAGAUCCAGAAAACAAUCCAUUAAAAAAUAAAAUAAUAAAUUGCA